rnacentral:lncRNA from 1 species
AACUCUACCCCCCUAAAAGAAAUUUUGACCUCGAAAUUUACCUGAUCUGAACAGAUGACGAUACUGCUGACGCAUCGAGUCCUCAGGUUCCCACGCGGCUUCCUCAGUGCCAUGAUUCUGCCACAGAACCUUCACCAACGGUAUAGACUUCCUUCUUAGAACCUUAAUAUCAUGAUCUAAAAUCUGAACUGGCUCCUCCUCAAAAGUCAAAUCUGGUCUAACCUCGACCUCCUCAACAAAGACAACGUGAGAUGGAUCAGAC